GACGAACGCUGGCGGCGUGCCUAAUACAUGCAAGUAGAGCGCACAGUUUAUACCGUAGCUUGCUACACCAUAGACUGUGAGUUGCGAACAGGUGAGUAACGCGUAGGUAACCUGCCUGGUAGCGGGGGAUAACUAUUGGAAACGAUAGCUAAUACCGCAUAAUAUUGAUUAUUGCAUGAUAAUUGAUUGAAAGAUGCUAUUGCAUCACUACCAGAUGGACCUGCGUUGUAUUAGCUAGUAGGUGAGGUAACGGCUCACCUAGGCGACGAUACAUAGCCGACCUGAGAGGGUGAUCGGCCACACUGGGACUGAGACACGGCCCAGACUCCUACGGGAGGCAGCAGUAGGGAAUCUUCGGCAAUGGACGAAAGUCUGACCGAGCAACGCCGCGUGAGUGAAGAAGGUUUUCGGAUCGUAAAGCUCUGUUGUAAGAGAAGAACGGGUGUGAGAGUGGAAAGUUCACACUGUGACGGUAUCUUACCAGAAAGGGACGGCUAACUACGUG
rnacentral:rRNA from 1 species